rnacentral:lncRNA from 1 species
UUUUACCCCACGUGUCAUUGCCAACUUCUGGAGCCAAACUGGAGCCAAAAAGAGCCAAGCUCCACCUCUCACAACAGGUUACUAAGCCUGGGCAGCAGCAACCGAGGGUUCUACUGCCCAGCACUAGAGCCCCUCAUCCAUGAGUUUUGCUGUCAGGUGCAAGUUGUGAGUACCAGCUUCAUCAUCAGAUUGUUUGGUGAAGUCAUCUCGUGUCACUGCUCCAACAACGUUGCUGAGAAGGAAUAUGUCCUAUCUGCCUUUAAACACAUUGAUGGACAGAUCGAGCUUGGCUUUGACAACGACAAUCCAAAUCAGUGGUACAUGUACCAGUGCUCCCAUCUCUGCAGUUGUGGUUGUAAUAUGGCAUUACCGCACUGGCCAUUCGUGAGUAACACCACAUUUCUCAUUCUAACUAUCCAAAAACCACAUCACAGCAGUUUCCUUCACUUCACUUUUGAAUGA